CUACGGAGGGUGCAAGCGUUGUUCGGAAUCACUGGGCGUAAAGCGCGCGCAGGCGGUCUUUUAAGUUGGAUGUGAAAGCCUACGGCUCAACCGUAGAACUGCAUCCAAAACUAUUAGACUAGAGUGUGGGAGAGGAAGAUGGAAUUAGUUGUGUAGGGGUAAAAUCCGUAGAGAUAACUAGGAAUACCAAAAGCGAAGGCAAUCUUCUGGAACACUACUGACGCUGAGGCGCGAAAGCGUGGGGAGCAAACAGGAGUAGAUACCCUAGUAGUCC
rnacentral:rRNA from 1 species